rnacentral:rRNA from 1 species
CACGUAGGCGGUUUCGUAAGUCGGAUGUGAAAGCCCUAGGCUUAACCAAGGAAGCGCAUUCGAAACUGUGGGACUUGAGUACGGGAGAGGGCUGUGGAAUUCCCGGUGUAGAGGUGAAAUUCGUAGAUAUCGGGAGGAACACCAGUGGCGAAGGCGACAGCCUGGACCGAUACUGACGCUGAGGUGCGAAAGCGUGGGGAGCAAACA